rnacentral:rRNA from 1 species
UACGGGGGGGGGCAAGCGUUGUUCGGAAUUACUGGGCGUAAAGGGCGCGUAGGCGGCCUGCUAAGUCGAACGUGAAAUCCCUGGGCUCAACCCAGGAACUGCGUCCGAUACUGGUUGGCUUGAAUCCGGGAGAGGGAUGUGGAAUUCCAGGUGUAGCGGUGAAAGUGACGUAGAUAUCUGGAGGAACACCAGUGGCGAAGGCGGCAUCCUGGACCGGUAUUGACGCUGAGGCGCGAAAGCUAGGGUAGCAAACGGG